UUGAUUGUUUUAAUUCAACUUGACUUUAGCAAUAAAGGUAGUAAAUGGACCCAGCAGUUGUUCUGGAGCAGUACAGGUUCUUCAUGAGAGACAGUGGGGCGCAGUGUGUCAUGACAGUUGGGAUGAAACCGAUGCCUCUGUGGUUUGCAGAGAGCUGGAAUGCAGUGGAUAUGUGGAGGCAAAGCCGAAUGCCUUUUUUGGUCAGGUGGUGCAACAGACAUGGAUGAAAAACGUUAAUUGCAAUGGAAGUGAGAAUUCACUUGUGCAAUGUGCCUCUGAAUUAGGAAACAACCUCUGUGGUCCUGAAAGUCAUGCAGGAGUCGUAUGUGAAGAAGUGACUUAUAAAUUUACAAUGAGAAUUAAGGUGACAAGUGACCCUGCAGUAGACCUAAAUGACCUUGUCUUCAGAAAGGUCAUUUUGGAAAAGAUAACGGAGAAGCUACAAGCACAGGGAAAUUUCACCCUCAGAUGGAAAACUAUGUCCAAUGGAAACAUCUUCCAGCUGAAAUAAGUUAUUAAGGCCUGAUAAGUUUAUAGUUGUACGUGUAAAGGCAUACUCUUAAUUAACUAAAUCCCAUCAGGUGUACGUCUUUCUACAGGUCAGAUAUAGUAGAAAAAUAAAGCUUAUAUGCCCAAUCCGUUACAUAGAUGUAAGAUUGUUGUGAGCUAUUUAAAACAUUGCAGUAAGCCUAUAGCAGGAACAUAUCUUUAUUUACAUGACCUUUGCAUUAUUGUAAGCCUCUUAACAUAACUUAUUAACAUAGCAUGAUUAGAACAGUCAUAAAUGUAAAAUCGUGUUUUAGAUGAGCUUAUCAUUUUAUGAAAUCAUUUUAGCUAGCAAAACAAUUAUAUUGUUAUUGUGAUUACUGCUUUAAAACGGUUUUUAUUAAUUAAG